AUGAACGCUAGCUACAGGCUUAACACAUGCAAGUCGAGGGGCAGCAUGGUCUUAGCUUGCUAAGGCCGAUGGCGACCGGCGCACGGGUGAGUAACACGUAUCCAACCUGCCGUCUACUCUUGGACAGCCUUCUGAAAGGAAGAUUAAUACAAGAUGGCAUCAUGAGUCCACAUGUUCACAUGAUUAAAGGUAUUCCGGUAGACGAUGGGGAUGCGUUCCAUUAGAUAGUAGGCGGGGUAACGGCCCACCUAGUCUUCGAUGGAUAGGGGUUCUGAGAGGAAGGUCCCCCACAUUGGAACUGAGACACGGUCCAAACUCCUACGGGAGGCAGCAGUGAGGAAUAUUGGUCAAUGGGCGAGAGCCUGAACCAGCCAAGUAGCGUGAAGGAUGACUGCCCUAUGGGUUGUAAACUUCUUUUGUAAAGGAAUAAAGUCGGGUAUGGAUACCCGUUUGCAUGUACUUUAUGAAUAAGGAUCGGCUAACUCCGUGCCAGCAGCCGCGGUAAUACGGAGGAUCCGAGCGUUAUCCGGAUUUAUUGGGUUUAAAGGGAGCGUAGAUGGAUGUUUAAGUCAGUUGUGAAAGUUUGCGGCUCAACCGUAAAAUUGCAGUUGAUACUGGAUAUCUUGAGUGCAGUUGAGGCAGGCGGAAUUCGUGGUGUAGCGGUGAAAUGCUUAGAUAUCACGAAGAACUCCGAUUGCGAAGGCAGCCUGCUAAGCUGCAACUGACAUUGAGGCUCGAAAGUGUGGGUAUCAAACAGGAUUAGAUACCCUGGUAGUCCACACGGUAAACGAUGAAUACUCGCUGUUUGCGAUAUACGGCAAGCGGCCAAGCGAAAGCGUUAAGUAUUCCACCUGGGGAGUACGCCGGCAACGGUGAAACUCAAAGGAAUUGACGGGGGCCCGCACAAGCGGAGGAACAUGUGGUUUAAUUCGAUGAUACGCGAGGAACCUUACCCGGGCUUAAAUUGCAGAUGAAUUACGGUGAAAGCCGUAAGCCGCAAGGCAUCUGUGAAGGUGCUGCAUGGUUGUCGUCAGCUCGUGUCGUGAGAUGUUGGGUUAAGUCCCGCAACGAGCGCAACCCUUAUGGUCAGUUACUACGCAAGAGGACUCUGGCCAGACUGCCGUUGACAAAACGGAGGAAGGUGGGGAUGACGUCAAAUCAGCACGGCCCUUACGUCCGGGGCUACACACGUGUUACAAUGGGGGGUACAGAGGGCCGCUACCACGCGAGUGGAUGCCAAUCCCAAAAACCUCUCUCAGUUCGGACUGGAGUCUGCAACCCGACUCCACGAAGCUGGAUUCGCUAGUAAUCGCGCAUCAGCCACGGCGCGGUGAAUACGUUCCCGGGCCUUGUACACACCGCCCGUCAAGCCAUGGGAGCCGGGGGUACCUGAAGUGCGUAACCGCGAGGAGCGCCCUAGGGUAAAACUGGUGACUGGGGCU
rnacentral:rRNA from 1 species